UGCCAACGCUUUCUUGUGAC
rnacentral:siRNA from 1 species